CACAGCCUGUUGAUGACAUUUCAUGUCAGUAUUGUCGUGAUCAUUCGUUCGACUUGUUUUGUUUAGUUACGAUCACAAGUUAAUUUUACUACUAAACAACUACCUGAACACAUUCAACUCCUUGAGAUGGCAGAGAUUAUUACGGAAGUAAGACGUCGAAGAGCAUCAAAAAACACCGUUUACCACGCUUUAUACGGGUAUUAUUUCCUCGGCCAUUCCGUAGCUGAGCUGUCCAGAUUAUACGGAAAGCACAAAUCCACUGUUCAUAACUGGAUCAACAUUUAUGAACAAAACGGACUCUUCGAACGAAAGCAGUAGGGUGAUCAAAGUAUUUUGGACAGACCGUUACUCGUAUAUAAUUUGGCCAUUUACGGCAAAAUCAAAUGGAAGUGGCCAAAUUAUAUAUGCGUAACGCUCUGUCCAAAAUACAUAAAACACCCUACACUCUAAUUUCUAAAAAUAUCCUAUAUAUGGCUAGUUGAUCUCUAUUAACGUCGACCUCUACUUUAUUUGGAAGAAGCUAAACAACUCUUCAGAGAACAUUUCCACAUGGAGAUCUCAGCAUCUUCCGUCUGUCGAAUACUGCAUAGUGAAGGGCUCACAUGGAAGUGCCUAGAACGAAGGGCAAUCCAGGUUAAAGAAAGUGACGUCCAUCGAUUCUUUCUAGAGAUCAACUCAAUCAACUGGAUGUACUGCAACUUGCUGUUUAUUGACGAGGUAUCCUUCGACAAUCGCGGGAUGGUCCGCACAAAAGGUUACUCCGUUAAAGGCCAAAAACUUGUAGCCCGUGGUGAGUUUGUGCGGAAACCGCGAGUUUCGUGCCUGUGCAUGGUUGGUCAACAAGGACUAGUUGAAUGCUGUUAUACCGAAGGAACAUUCACGCGUUUGAAGUUUUUUGAACAAUGUCGUCAGUUUGCUCUGUACAGCGGAAAAGUCGAAACUUAUCCUGGCAUCCAUUCCAUUUGGAUAAUGGAUGGGGCCAAGAUACAUUGCGAUGCUAACAUAAUCUAUUACUUAAGGUCAUUGGGAAUAUUUCCGAUAUUUUUGCCCGCUUACACGCCAUAUUACAAUCCCAUUGAGAUUGUUUUUGGUGUCAUUAAAAAACGUAUGCAGAAAGUAUACAACGAAAACAGUAACACAAAUAUCAAUAUAUUUGUUGCAGAAGUAAUGUCACAGUUUGCAUCAUUUGAAAUGGAUGGGUUGUUCAGGAAAUGUGGAUAUUUCAGAGGGAAAUUCGAUCCUACUGUAGCUGUUCCCAAUGAUAUUGAAGAAUAAAGAGAAAAAUGAAAAUAA